rnacentral:rRNA from 1 species
GACGAACGCUGGCGGCGUGCUUAACACAUGCAAGUCGAACGGCGUGGCGAACGGGUGAGUAACACGUGGGUGACCUGCCCUGCACUUCGGGAUAAGCCUGGGAAACUGGGUCUAAUACAGGAUAGUGUGGGAUGGGCCGGCGGCCUAUCAGCUUGUUGGUGGGGUAAUGGCCUACCAAGGCGGCGACGUGUAGACGGCCUGCGAGGGUGGACGGCCACAUGGGGAGUUCAACACUACCACAACUCCUACAUUAGGCAGCGAGGGGGAAUAUUGCACAAUGGGCGGAAGCGUGAUGCAGGUACGCCGCGUGUUUGAUGACGGCCUUCGGGUUGGAAACUCCUUUCACCAUCGACGCGGUAGAUGGAGAAGAAGCACCGGCUAACUACGUGCCAGCAGCCGCGGUAAUAC